rnacentral:lncRNA from 1 species
CCGCCUGGCCCAACCGGAUCCUCCUCUCUUUAAAACACCCAUUUUUCCAAAUCCUAAAGGGCGACAAGAGAACGGAAAGAGAACAGACCCCCUUUCUAAAAAACCCUAGCCGCCAGACCUCCCUUUAUUUUCUGAUCUCACUCACUCUCACUCCUCUGCGCUCACCCAAUACGCACACUCAUCCAAUAUCAGCUGGAAAUCCUUGAGAAUAGAUAGAGAAUACGAAAGUUGAGUUUCAGAAAAUUAAGAAAAAGCACCAGAAAGCAAAAACAGUGAAAUUUCAACCAAAUACAAUUAAAAAAGUUGAUUCCAAAGGAUUCUUCUAUGUCAUUUCUGGGUUCUUAAGCUGGAUCUUACCUAUUGGCAAAAGUUGUUUCUGCUGUAGCAUUAUAGUUGCGCUCAUUUUCGUUUUUUCCGACCUUUAUUUGGUUUACAUUUCUUUCCUGUGCUGUUUUCGAGGUAAUCUUCUACUACCUCAUAUGGUUUCUUCUAAUGUACUGAAAUUAGAUUUUUCUCCAGAUCUAUUAUAGCGUGAGAUUGUUAUCUUUAUCUGCUGUUACUAGUUAGAUUUAUGCACUUCGAUUAGUUUGAUCUAUUCAAUGUCUGAAAUCACGGCUGAUCCCUGAUGCAUCUGCUAUUAUUGUAUGGAUUCAGUGAUUUUGAAUUUAGUUUUAACACAAAAUAAAAUGCUUUUGAACUCGAUGAAAACAUAUUUGUAGAUUGGGUCUGGUGUUAUGAAGUAUAAGCAGUUUGUUUGGUUUGAUUCCAGCCCCUGUUUAGCAUUCUAUGCUUGAAAGGAAAAGGGUAACCGAACAGAGAUAAAAUCAGUACCUCAUUGACGGAUAUGGAGAAGAAGAGUGAAAGAACAUGAACUGAGAUUUAGCUUUUAGUUGAAGUGGCGUAAAUUGAUCGUAUUUUCAUAAGUAAUUAUAGAAUAGCCUGGAUGCGUAAUCUUAAUUCUGAAUUAGUUUUGUAUUCUUUUGUUUCCAUUUCAUUGCCCUUUUGGUUGAAAACUAAUGCACGAACAUGUAAGCUCUAACGUAGUAAUGAAUCAGUGUAUGAGAACAAGUGCAAGCAAUUGAUUGAAUCAAAUAUGCCAACUCUAUGACUGUUCGUAAUGAUCAAUUCUUUAAGCACAACUAAUUUCCAUAACCUAUGCCUUUGCAAGAAUCUCAAGACUUAGAAGAAUUAUCAGACUCUUAAACAUCGUAGCUUGCUUUAAGCGCGAUCAAUAAAUUAUCGUGAUUAUGGGUACGAUUCCUGUGGCAUAGUCAUGAUACAUAAUCCCAUUCGGGUGUGCAUUUCAUGUGACCCGAACGUAACUUCUAAUAGUAAUAAAAAUAAACAUGUGGUAAAUCGUGGGUACAUUUCAUGUGGCGCGGUUUGUAACGUGUACCAAAAUAACAAGUGUAGGACAUCGUGACUUGUUCCAGAAAUAAUUCCAUAAAUAUUAAAUGCGGUUCAAAAAUAAAAAAUGCACAAUAGGUUUCAAACAUGAAAUAAAUCAGAUAAUUAGGCCAGUUAUUAACAGUUGAGCGACUGUGCUAAAACUACGGAACUCGAGAGUGCCUCACACCUUCUCCCGGAUUAACAGAAUUCCUUACCCGGUCUUCUGUGAUCGUAGACCAUAAAUAAGAGUCAAUUUUCUCGAUUUGGGAUUUAAAAUAAAGCGGUGACUUGGAACACCAUAAAUUAUCCCAAGUGGCGACUCUGAAAUAAAUAAAUAAUUCCAUUUCGAUGCAUGUCACUUAAAUUGGAAAAAUUUCCUAUCCUCUUCGGAAAAAAGGAGGUGUGACAGUCACUAACUCUUUUUUCCCCCUAUUUUUGUGUCUUGAGUCCAAAAAUGCAUUAUUUUGGUUCCGGACUCUUUCCAGGCUUUGCUAUUUUUUUGGUUAUAAAGAUUGAUUAUUUCUAUGCUGAAAGAUUUGUUUUUUUGUCAGAACUCUUUCUUUUUCUGCUCUAGUUUGGAUUAGUCAAGGCAUUGUCUAGUGAAACUCUUAUUAGCCAUAAAACUUUUCCAUUUAAAAACUGCCGAGUGGAUGUUAUUGAGCUGAUACAGUGAAUGAAUACUGCUAAUUAGCUAGAAGAAAGAACUAGUAGAGUUAAGCAUGGCGUUAAGAAACAAUCAUCGAUGGAUCAGAAUUAAGUCGCAUCGUAAUGGAAGAAGAGAGGAGGGCUGGUAUAUGGUUGUGAGGGAAGAUAGCCAUUGAAGUUUGGAAGUAUAUGGAUCAUCAGUCUAAAAGCAGUAGAAAGUAUAUUGAAGUUUGGAAAGUGUAUUGAAGAAGAAGAUGGUUAUACUAAGCGGAUCGAAGAGGCUGGGGGUUUGGAAAAGCUUGAAUACUUGUCUAAUACUGAAAUUCGAUGUGAGGUUUUUCUAAUAAUGGGUACAUAUUGGCCGUCACUAGGACGUUAUGCUGAGGUGACUUUGACACAUACUUUUCAUCUUCAUACUUUCCAUCUUCAUAUGACUUAACCUUUUCUUGACAUACUUUCCAUCUUCAUAUGACAGAGAUUGCGUAUAUAUAAGAUUGGAGCUCUGACGAUGAAAAAUGGGAGGACCCAAUGUAUUAGUGAUGUCUUAAGGGAUUAACCUGUUGUUAACAUAUUUUCCAUCUUUAUAUGACAGAGAUGGCGUAAAAUGGAAAGGGAUAACUUUUUGACAAAUUUCUUCAUUAUUAUAUUUAUACAUUUCUACUUCUGCCUUGUUAUAAAUGAAAACUAGUCAACUCAUGAUAAACAUGCUUACCAGCUGCAAGGGUACCAUUGGAAUUUAAAUUGUUUGUUUUGUGCUCUAAGGAUUCGUAUUGUUGCAGCAUUCAUGUGUGUACUUUGGCUUGAAUGGACGAAAAACUCAAUUUAUUUUGCAUUUAAUGCCUUUCGUCUUCCAGCCUUGGGGUAUGUUUUUGUGCUACUUUAUCUUUGUAUUGCUGUAAUUUCUCUUAGUUUUCCUUAGAAGAAUUAUCCAAAUAGUCAUUCAUCCAACCGCUUAAACUAAAAAAUAAUUGUGUAUACGAUCAAAACCGGUUAGUCCUUCGUACGAACUGGUCGAAAUGGUAAUGCAUUGGGUCGAAGAGCGUCUUCAUAAUAUCAGGUUGAGGUCCGAGGUCAGGUCACCAAGUUUCGAGCCCUAGGGACCGAUCAAUGUCGAGCUCAAUAUCAUUAUUGAGUUCGAAUCCAAAUUGAACUAUGAUGCAAAGUGAAGUUAUCGAGCUUAUGAGGCAGAGAUCGACCAACACUGACCCCGAAUCAAUACAAGGAUCCGAGUUAGAAUCGAGCUUGAGUCAAGAUCGAGAGCUCGAGUCGAUAUCAAGCUCGAGUAAAUAUCGAGCUCAUAGACAAGAGCCGUUGCAAUCGCACUAGAGGAGAGAAUCCUGGCAGGAAUUAUGGAAAAACUGAUUUAUCAUGGGUCUUCCACUAUGUAUUUUUAAUUAUAUCUAAAGUAGAAUCCCUCCACUAUAAAGGGGAUGGUUAUUAUUUCUGUAAGGACCAAGUUUUUGCAUACAUUGUAACUGAGAUAUCAUACACUCCUAUAUUGAAGAGUUAUCCUUUUUUAGCUUCAUAGAUUGAUUCAUCUUACUUAAUCUAUAAAUCAUCUUCUUCCCAACUUUGCUUAUUUUUCAUUCUCUACAGUCAACACUCAAUAUUUCUAUUCAUUCUUAUGAUUUGUGUCAAGUUAUACUACAUAUCCUUAGAACUACGUACAAAUUUAACUCUAUCCGUUUUUCGGGUAAACAAAUUGUGAAGAUAUCCGCUGAGCCCGUUUUGGUAAAUCCCCCUGCGGCACGUACUACAGUGCCACAAACACCAAGGCAUACUUGCCAUGUGCUAUUAUGAUUAGUUAAUCUGCUACCCGCUCUGUUUCAAUUUAUGUGACAGUUUGAAUCUGAAGGGAGUAAAAAAAAAUGAAGAUUGGUAAAAUUUGUGGCUCUAGACAUGUCAUUUAUGUGGUUAUCAUAGCUUUUCAUUGUGAGAAAAAUAAAAUGUAUAAAGUUAAUUGUUUUUAAAUUUAGAAGAGUCAUUCUUUUUGGAAUGAGCUAAAAAGAAAUAUCAGGAAGAAGGGAUUUCUUUUGAACCAUUAAAAGAAAAAACUCUUUUGUAUUAAUUGCAAGGAAAUUUAGCUGUGUUCUUGGGAUAUUUUAGUUUUACCAUAAAUUGGCUUUUUCUUUUUUAUAUUAAGCAUAUUUUGAACUGGUUAUGACACAUAGUGUAGUGUAAGGACAAGAUAGGAAAGUUUGAGUCGAGCCAGACUAGCUGAUUUGGCACAUAUGGCUAGGAUGCUAUUUAUCUUCUUUUUUUUUUUACUUUUUCCCGUAAUUUAUUUUCAUUUAAAACUUAGUAAAUGAUUAAAAGUCAAAAGUCACGUCUAAUUAAAACCUAACAUUACGGCCGUUCGCCUAAUUUUGGAAAACCCAAUGGCUCAUUAACUUGGCCGUUCUCUAGCCAAUGUUGCUACAUUGGUAGAAAUUAUGUGCUUAUUUUGCUUAGUUUUAUCAUGUGCAGGAUAGAUUAGUUAUUAUUGCCUAAUAUUAUUCGUUUUUUACUUUUUUUUAUAAGUUUUGCUAUGUUUUGAUACUUUUACUUUUGCAAUAUUGGAUACAUAUUUAAUACGGAUAAUGCGUCUCCCUGCCUUUAGGAUUGGGUUAAGUCAGCGUACACACUAAGGGUGGCAAACGGGCGGAUCGGAUCAGAUACCGGACGAGUCGAAAACGGGUAAUGUAAAAA